rnacentral:rRNA from 1 species
UACAGAGGGGGCAAGCGUUGUUCGGAAUUACUGGGCGUAAAGGGCGCGUAGGCGGCCUGUUAAGUCGAACGUGAAAUCCCCGGGCUCAACCCGGGAACUGCGUCCGAUACUGGCAGGCUUGAAUCCGGGAGAGGGAUGUGGAAUUCCAGGUGUAGCGGUGAAAUGCGUAGAUAUCUGGAGGAAUACCGGUGGCGAAGGCGGCAUCCUGGACCAUUACUGACGCUGAGGCGCGAAAGCUAGGGGAGCAAACGGG